UAUUAAAGGCAACGCCUGCCCAGUGAAUAGUUUAACGGCCGCGGUACCCUAACCGUGCAAAGGUAGCGUAAUCACUUGUCUAUUAAUUGUAGACCCGUAUGAAAGGCAUAAUGAGGGUUUAACUGUCUCUUUUAGUAAAUCAAUUAAACUGAUCCCCUAGUCCAAAAGCUAGGAUAUUAACAUUAGACCAGAAGACCCUGUGAAGCUUUAACUAAACUAUUAAACCUUAUAAUAGCUCCUUUAGGUUGGGGCGACCUUGGAAAAAAAAAGAACUUCCAAUAUAUAGUAUAUAAUAAUAUACUUCUACAGGCCAACAAGCCCGCCAACGACCCAGCAUAGCUGACAAUAGAACCAAGUUACUCCAGGGAUAACAGCGCUAUCUUCUUCAAGAGCCCAUAUCAAAAAGAAGGUUUACGACCUCGAUGUUGGAUCAGGACAUCCUAAUGGUGCAGCCGCUAUUAAGGGUUCGUUUGUUCAACGAUAAC
rnacentral:rRNA from 1 species